rnacentral:sRNA from 1 species
GGAAGUGGAAGUUCGACUAAGACCGUCACGUCAAUCGCCAACGUCGAACGACCCCACGUCGUGUGGG